UACGGAGGGGGCUAGCGUUGUUCGGAAUUACUGGGCGUAAAGCGCGCGUAGGCGGACCUGCAAGUCGGGGGUGAAAGCCCGAGGCUCAACCUCGGAACUGCCUUCGAUACUGCGGGUCUCGAGUCCGGGAGAGGUGAGUGGAAUUCCUAGUGUAGAGGUGAAAUUCGUAGAUAUUAGGAAGAACACCAGUGGCGAAGGCGUCUCACUGGCCCGGUACUGACACUGAGGCGCGAAGGCGUGGGGAGCAAACAGG
rnacentral:rRNA from 1 species